rnacentral:rRNA from 1 species
UCCGGCCGCCCUUUUGCAUAUCAAUAAGCNGAGGAAAAGAAACCAACAGGGAUUGCCUCAGUAACGGCGAGUGAAGCGGCAAAAGCUCAAAUUUGAAAUCCCCCCGGGGAGUUGUAAUUUGAAGAUUGCGUCUUGGAGGCGACCGUGUCUAUGUUCCUUGGAACAGGACGUCACAGAGGGUGAGAAUCCCGUGCGGCACGGCCCCCGGCUCCUUAUAAGGCGCUCUCGACGAGUCGAGUUGUUUGGGAAUGCAGCUCAAAGUGGGUGGUAAAUUCCAUCUAAAGCUAAAUACAGGCGAGAGACCGAUAGCGAACAAGUACAGUGAUGGAAAGAUGAAAAGCACUUUGAAAAGAGAGUGAAACAGCACGUGAAAUUGUUGAAAGGGAAGGGCAUGCCGUCAGAUUGUCAGUGUGGGUAAGAAGCGGGGUACAAAGACUGUGGAACGUGGCCCUCGGGUGUUAUAGCCGCAGUUCAUGCCCCGUCUCUUUCCGAGGCCUGCUUUGAGGACACCGACGUAAUGACGGUACGCCGCCCGUCUUGAACCACGGACCAAAAGGGGUGGAGAA